AUGUUGUCCAUGUUGGCGGCCGUGGGCUCGCCGGGGGGGAAGGAAGGCUCGUGGGCCACGUCCCACACGGUCACCUCGGUCACUUGGGUGACGUGGGUGGCGGCGGUGGCGGCGGCGGUGGCGUCGGUGAAGCAGCGGCGCCGCGCGGCCCCGUGCCGGCGGCAGCAGUGGAAUUGGCGCGUUUUCACCCCAAAUUCGUCGUCGCAGAAGCUGUUCAGGACAUCGGUCCACUGCGAGGGGGGGAAAAAAGGGAUAAUAGGGAUGGGAUCACCCCCAUAUAGGGCCACAGAGGGGUUUGGGGUCCGGAUGGGAUCACCCCGAUAUAGGGCCAUGGAGGGGUUUGGGGUCUGGAUUUGGGGUUGGACGGGAUCACCCCCAUAUAGGGCCACGGAGGGGUUUGGGGGUCGAACAGGAUCACCCCGAUAUAGGGCCACGAAAGGGUUUGGGGUCCAGAUUUGGGGUCGGCCAGGAUCACCCCAAUAUAGGGCCACGGAAGGGUUUGGGGUCCGGAUUUGGGGUCAGACGGGAUCACCCCAAUAUAGGGCCGGAUUUGGGGUCAGGACUCACGGCGCGGCGGGCACAGGGCAGCGGGGCCGGGCGGCGGCAGCAGCCGUCGAGGCGAGGCCAGAAGGCGUCGAGGGCGUCCACCUGGCGGCGGAGGUGGGCGAAGGCGGCGGGGGGCAACGAGGGCCGGGGGGCUCGGGGGAACAGAGCGGGGGCGCGGCAGUGCUGGGCCAAGGCGUCGGGAAGGGGCCAAGCGGGGGGGGAAACCCUCCAAGGUGCUGCCCCACGACGAGGCCCCGAUGGCGUCGAUGGAAUCCUGGGACGAUGGCGCCCGGGGUCUGGGGGGGUUUUUGGCCGCCGACACCACCUCGGGGGGCAGCUCGAUGUCCUGCUCCUCCUGCAUCACUGCGGGGACGGGGACAAGGAGGGGGGGGGGACACAUGGGGUUGGGGGGGGGUGUGGGCAUGUGGCCCCGCUGCGCGCAUGCAUCGCCCACCCCAAAAUGGUGACCCCNNNNNNNNNNNNNNNNNNNNNNNNNNNNNNNNNNNNNNNNNNNNNNNNNNNNNNNNNNNNNNNNNNNNNNNNNNNNNNNNNNNNNNNNNNNNNNNNNNNNCUCACCCUGCUGGAUGUCAUAGGGAUGCUGUGGGAUCAGCUGCUCCUGCGCCACGGGGUGACGGGGCUUCAGGGCCGCUUUUGGGGACAGGGGGGGACAAUGAGCACAGCCCUCGUCCCCCCCCCGCCCGGCAGAGACCCCACAAACUCACCCCCCCCCCCUCACCCCCACCCCCCCAAUCCCGCAGCCGGGGGUAGGGCGGGGGCAGGCAGGGACCGGGGUAGGAAAAGGGGAAGUGACCCUAAUGCCGGGGGGGGGGACAUGGGGGGCCGGGCAGGGACACGGAGGGGUUGGGGAGGGGACCCUAAAUGGGCUGCAAGGGGAACCAGGUGGCCUGGAGGGGACCCAGGUGGCCCAAAAGGGACCCAGGUGGCCAGGGGAGGGUCCCAGGUGGCCAGGGGGGGACCUGGGUGGCCGGGAGGGGUCACAAGUGGCUGGGGGGGGGACCUGGGGUGGCCAAAAAGGGGACAGAAAGUGGCUGGGGAGGGGACUCAGGUGGCCAGGAGGGUCCCCAGGUAGCCCAAAAGUGCCCCAGGUGGCCAGGGAGGGGACACAAGUGGCUGGGAGGGGACUGGGAGUGGAUAAACAGGGGCCAGAAAGGGGCUGGGAAAGGGCCACUGAGUGGCUGGAGAGGGGACCUGGGUGGCCAGGAGGGGACCCAGGUGGCCAGGAGGGUCCCCAGGUAGCCCAAAAGUGACUCAGGUGGCCAGGGAAGGGUCCCAGGUGGCUAGGGAGGGUCCCAGGUGGCCAGGAGGGGACACAGGUGGCUGUGAGGGGUCCUGGGGUGGCCAAAAAGGGGACAGAAAGUGGCUGGGGAGGGGACCCGGGGUGGCCAGGAGGGUCCCCAGGUGGCCCAAAAGUGCCCCAGGUGGCCAGGGGAGGGGUCCCCAGGAGGGAGGCUCCCCAGGUAGCCAGGGAAGGCUCCCAGGUAGCCCAUCAGUACCCCAGCUCCCAGGAGGAGGACCCCCCCCCCCCAAACACCCCCGGUUAACCCUGAGGGGUGUCCCCGUCCCCCCCUCCCCACGUCCCGGUGGCGGUGGCGGUGGCCGCGGGGACUCACCGGCGGUGCCGAGGAGGAGGAGGAGGAGGAGGCCGAAGGCGGCCAUGGCGGCGGGCGCUCUGAGGCCUCCGGCGGCUCCUCCGCCUUUUGUAGGGCCGGGGCGGCGCGGGGCCUCAUCCCGCGGGCUGAGUCACGGC
rnacentral:lncRNA from 1 species